AGAGUUUGAUCCUGGCUCAGAUUGAACGCUGGCGGCAGGCUUAACACAUGCAAGUCGAACGGUAACAGAGAUAGCUUGCUAUCUGCUGACGAGCGGCGGACGGGUGAGUAAUGCUUGGGAAUAUGCCUUUGAGUGGGGGACAACAGUUGGAAACGACUGCUAAUACCGCAUAACGUCUACGGACCAAAGGGGGGGAUCUUCGGACCUCUCGCUCAUUGAUUAGCCCAAGUGAGAUUAGCUAGUUGGUAAGGUAAUGGCUUACCAAGGCGACGAUCUCUAGCUGGUUUGAGAGGAUGAUCAGCCACACUGGGACUGAGACACGGCCCAGACUCCUACGGGAGGCAGCAGUGGGGAAUAUUGCACAAUGGGCGAAAGCCUGAUGCAGCCAUGCCGCGUGUGUGAAGAAGGCCUUCGGGUUGUAAAGCACUUUCAGUUGUGAGGAAAGGAAUGUAGUUAAUAGCUGCAUUCUGUGACGUUAACAACAGAAGAAGCACCGCUAACUU
rnacentral:rRNA from 1 species